rnacentral:rRNA from 1 species
UGUUUAUUUCGGUAAACACCAAGUGGCGANCGGGUGANUAACGCGUAAGCAAUCUACCUUCAAGAUGGGGACAACACUUCNAAAGGGGUGCUAAUACCGAAUGAAUGAGAGAUGACCGCAUGGAUAUUUCUCUAAAGGAGGCCUCUGAAAAUGCU